ACGGGGGACAGAGGAGAGGGCACGGGGCAUGUACGGGGACAGAUGAGUGGGGCCAGGCGAGCUGGGAUGGGGGUGUGUGAGGACAAAGGAUGAGCGAGGACAAGUGACAGGAGUCCUGAUUACUCUGGAGGAUGGAGCUCCCUGACCACCAGCACCCAAACUGUCCUUUGAAGUGAGCUCCAUCUGGGAUGGAGCCAGUUCUUCAGGCUAACAGACAGCAAAGAGCAAUGCACUGGAGAUUGCUGUAUUUGCAACAGAAGAGUUCCUUUCUGGUCCCUCAACUAAGAAGUGACUUAUGCCUUGAUGCAUAUCUGGUUAAGACCCCUUUCAGGAUUUCUGUCUCAAUUCU